CUGGAUGGGGGUUCACUCAGCAUGUCUAUCGAUGAAGAACGCGGCAAGCCGCCAGAACUGAUGCGAAUUGCAACACUCAGUGAACAUCGACACCUCGAACGAACAUUGUGCCACCGAGAUCC